UACGAAGGGUGCAAGCGUUACUCGGAAUUACUGGGCGUAAAGCGUGUGCAGGUGGUUUGUUAAGUCUGCUGUGAAAGCCCCGGGCUCAACCUGGGAAUGGCAGUGGAUACUGGCAAGCUGGAGUGCGGUAGAGGGUAGUGGAAUUCCCGGUGUAGCGGUGAAAUGCGUAGAGAUCGGGAGGAACACCAGUGGCGAAGGCGGCUACCUGGCCUAAUACUGACACUGAGGCACGAAAGCGUGGGGAGCAAACAGG
rnacentral:rRNA from 1 species